rnacentral:rRNA from 1 species
UGGUGGAGUGAUUUGUCUGGUUAAUUCCGUUAACGAACGAGACCUUGACCUACUAACUAGCUGUGGGAAUUUCGAUUCGCCAGGAGCUUCUUAGAGGGACUAUCGGCUUUUAGCCGGUGGAAGAUCGAGGCAAUAACA